UCCAUUUGAAUUUUUGGCAUAAACUUAUUAGGUGCUAAGGAGAGAACAAAGCAUGACAGAACAUGUAAUAAAGGACUAACAAAAAGGGAUCCAAAAUUCUAAAACGGGGGCAAAAGAAGAUUCUGCUUAUGCACCUCGAAAUUCGUCAGUGCACAUGCUUCUCUCUUCUCGUUGAAUGAGAACCUGCUCAAUCGUACAGUAUGUAUGAGAUGACAAAAAAAUGUUAACACCACAAUGCAAAUAGCAUCACUGGCCGAAAGGAAGGACUUCAUCCUAAUGUAUAUAAUAAAAAUAAAUUCAAGCUUGAAGGAGUUGAUGAUAUAUAUUGCGGCUGUUCGAUCAACUCACAAUUUAGAUGAGUGACUCCGUGCACACAGCUGAGAGGAUACCGUAGAACACCCCGCAAAGCCAUAACCUGAUGAGAUACAUACAGUGAGAGGCAAAACAACUCAAUUCAAUUAAGGAAAUACAUGGGUGGAGAAAAUUGUGUGAGACUACAAAGCAAAUAACAAUAAACUCCAAUGAAGGUGUUGCAUCAAAAUUCUGGUGCAAAAAUCCUUUGAAGCAACUCAACCCCAGAUGUAUUAGCUCGAAUCAAUUACUAAUUAUACAACAAAUAUGCAUCUGACAUACCGUCAGGACAGAUUUCGCUGAUAUGGAUG
rnacentral:lncRNA from 1 species